UACGUAGGGGGCAAGCGUUGUCCGGAAUCAUUGGGCGUAAAGCGCGUGUAGGCGGCCAGAAAAGUCCGCUGUGAAAACUCGAGGCUCAACCUCGAGACGUCGGCGGAAACCAUCUGGCUAGAGUCCGGAAGAGGAGAGUGGAAUUCCUGGUGUAGCGGUGAAAUGCGCAGAUAUCAGGAGGAACACCGGUGGCGAAGGCGGUUCUCUGGGAAUGUCCUGACGCUGAGGAGCGAAAGUGUGGGGAGCGAACAGG
rnacentral:rRNA from 1 species